rnacentral:rRNA from 1 species
UUGGAGGGCAAGUCUGGUGCCCGCAGCCGCGGUAAUUCCAGCUCCAAUAGCGUAUAUUAAAGUUGUUGCAGUUAAAAAGCUCGUAGUUGAAUUUCGGGGUCAGUAGGUUGGUCGUGCCACUGGUACGUACUGGUCUCACUGAUUCCUCCUUCCUGAUGAACCGUAAUGCCAUUAAUUUGGUGUUGCGGGGAAACUGGACUGUUACUUUGAAAAAAUUAGAGUGUUUAAAGCAGGCUAACGCUUGAAUACAUUAGCAUGGAAUAAUGAAAUAGGACGUUCGAUCCUAUUUUGUUGGUUUCUAGGAUUGACGUAAUGAUUAAUAGGGAUAGUUGGGGGCAUUAGUAUUCAAUUGUCAGAGGUGAAAUUCUUGGAUUUAUUGAAGACUAACUACUGCGAAAGCAUUUGCCAAGGAUGUUUUCAUUAAUCAAGAACGAAAGUUAGGGGAUCGAAGACGAUCAGAUACCGUCGUAGUCUUAACCAUAAACUAUGCCGACUAGGGAUCGGAUGAUGUUAAUUUUUUAAUGACUCAUUCGGCACCUUACGGGAAAC